CCUACGGGAGGCAGCAGUGGGGAAUAUUGCACAAUGGGGGAAACCCUGAUGCAGCGACGCCGCGUGAGUGAAGAAGUAAUUCGUUAUGUAAAGCUCUAUCAGCAGGGAAGAAAAUGACGGUACCUGAGUAAGAAGCCCCGGCUAACUACGGGCCAGCAGCCGCGGUAAUACGUAGGGGGCAAGCGUUAUCCGGAUUUACUGGGUGUAAAGGGAGCGUAGACGGCAGUGCAAGUCUGGAGUGAAAGGGGGGGGCUCAACCCCCGGACUGCUCUGGAAACUGUACGGCUGGAGUGCAGGAGAGGUAAGUGGAAUUCGUAGUGUAGCGGUGAAAUGCGUAGAUAUUAGGAGGAACACCAGUGGCGAAGGCAGCUUACUGGACUGUAACUGACGUUGAGGCUCGAAAGCGUGGGGAGCAAACAGGAUUAGAUACCCUUGUAGUC
rnacentral:rRNA from 1 species